rnacentral:rRNA from 1 species
AUGAACGCUGGCGGCGUGCCUAAUACAUGCAAGUCGAGCGAACAGACGAGGAGCUUGCUCCUCUGACGUUAGCGGCGGACGGGUGAGUAACACGUGGAUAACCUACCUAUAAGACUGGGAUAACUUCGGGAAACCGGAGCUAAUACCGGAUAAUAUAUUGAACCGCAUGGUUCAAUAGUGAAAGACGGUUUUGCUGUCACUUAUAGAUGGAUCCGCGCCGCAUUAGCUAGUUGGUAAGGUAACGGCUUACCAAGGCAACGAUGCGUAGCCGACCUGAGAGGGUGAUCGGCCACACUGGAACUGAGACACGGUCCAGACUCCUACGGGAGGCAGCAGUAGGGAAUCUUCCGCAACGGGCGAAAGCCUGACGGAGCAACGCCGCGUGAGUGAUGAAGGUCUUCGGAUCGUAAAACUCUGUUAUUAGGGAAGAACAAAUGUGUAAGUAACUAUGCACGUCUUGACGGUACCUAAUCAGAAAGCCACGGCUAACUACGUG